rnacentral:rRNA from 1 species
GACGAACGCUGGCGGCGUGCCUAAUACAUGCAAGUCGUGCGGACCUUUUAAAAGCUUGCUUUUAAAAGGUUAGCGGCGGACGGGUGAGUAACACGUGGGCAACCUGCCUGUAAGACUGGGAUAACGCCGGGAAACCGGGGCUAAUACCGGAUCGUUUUUCCUCCGCAUGGUGGAAAAAGGAAAGGCGGCUUCGGCUGCCACUUACAGAUGGGCCCGCGGCGCAUUAGCUAGUUGGCGGGGUAACGGCCCAACAAGGCAACGAUGCGUAGCCGACCUGAGAGGGUGAUCGGCCACAUUGGGACUAGGACACGGCCAAACACCCUGCGGGAGACAGCAGAAGGGAAACUUUCGCAGUGGCCGAAAGUCGGAUGAAGAACCGCGGCGGGAGUGAAGAAAGCCGUAGCGGCGUAAAACUCAGUUGCCGGGGAAGAACAAGAGCCGUUCGAACAGGGAGGCGCCGUGACGGUACCCGGACAGAAAGCCACGGCUAACUACGUG